AUGACCGUACUUGAACAGGAUCUGUUCUAUAGGUCAUACACCUGUCUGUGUUCUUCAACUCAGACAAGCUCCUCAACCCAGACGAAGAUAGGCAGCCUCGGCGCCUGAGCGCUACGUAUGGGUGCAGUGGCUGUGACGCUGUCACAGACGCGCACCUCUGGAUGAACGCCUCGCUGAGUCCAUUCCACCGGCUGAGGUGGCGCACGGGGCAUUCAGAUGGGUU
rfam:Gonium pectorale scaffold00004, whole genome shotgun sequence.